GCCGAGGAAUCGAUGAUUCGGCCUGUGGGCCGGGUCACUGCGGCGGGGCCCGGGGAGCGCCGAUAGCAUGGAUAGGCUCAGAGGGGCGCAGGGUUUUGGCGGCUUCCCGAGUUCCCCUCGCCGACCGCCAUGUCACAUCUUACGGAAGAGGCGGGGGCUGCCGCGGAGAGGAUAUUUUUUGUUUUGUUUUGUUUUCACAAGAAUCACCUGGAUGCUUCUAAAGAGGAUGUCUACCAGACCCCAUGCCGCACUAAUUAGCUCAGAAGUGGGAACCCUUCCAUCCAGGCACUGAAGCUCUGGAAGCCCAGCGAGGACAACUCAGACUCAGGAGACAGAGGACUCUGUAGAAGAGGUGUUCCAGGGCCUGGGUGCCACCAGCCAGCUCCGCUAGAAGAAUGCUGUGAGAACAGGCUGGCACUGAGCUGGAGUGGCCAUCGUCACAAGGCACACAUCCUCAGAUUUUUGGAACAUACUUACAUCUCGAAGAUAGCGCUCCAUCCAUUUAAUGAUAUCAAUACCCCGGAUUCUAUCCUCAAAUAUGUCAAUCUACAAGAAAAGGAUGCGCAAAAGAGCUCUUAAUGAGAGCUUUCUCCGAGUGCAGACCUCAAGAAAACACAAGAUCCUACAUACAUGUGCAACCCUAAAAGUAGUGCUCUCAAUAAGGAGGAACACGUGAGACCAAACAGAGAAGCAAAGAGUGUGGAAUGCAUCAGUUAAAAUCUCAAGAAACCCCGAGGCAGAGGAUUAAGAGAUACUGAAGAGAAGAUGAGUCUGUGUGCAUUUAUCUGUGCUUAGCCUGCUCCGAAUGGGAACUCAGCUCUCAAAUGAAGGUGUGUGUGGUAUGUGAUGGUGGAAGUAACCAGCAGCCAGGCAAAUGGCAGAGCGUGGCCCUUUUCCACCUCCAUGUGUAAUAAUUGCAGGACUCCCUUCCCAGACAAGACUGCUCACUCCUGCAGAAAAUGACCUUGUUCUUGAGAGCUGCUGCUAAUUUACAGUGAGGCACUAGGUUUCUACCCAGUGCCACGUGAGCAACCAAUCCAUCUACCCAGGGGCACGGCACUGACGAGCAGCAUCAUUUAGAAGGAAAGAAGUAUGGGUGGUGUUUGUUGUUUCCUGUGUGUUAAGGAAAAUCCAGUGGCUAGCUCCAUGUUUUGUUCACGUGACUCUCAACCUGGUGUGGCCUGGACUCUAGUCCCUGCCUCAAGGAAAGUCCAGACUGACAUAGAAAAUCCCUGCUCACCAGCCUUGACCUUGGGAGAAAGCCCCUGACCUGUGAGUGGACAGAAGGCCUGGUGGUCAGCCCGUGGGAGCCCUGGAGCGUGCACUGCUGGAGCAGCUCAGAAAAAGCUGAGAAGCCAAGACUUGACUGUCAGUCCUGGAGAAUUAGAACAUGCCUGCUAAAUUUCAGUCCACUCUGAGGAAGGGGCAGUGCCCACAAGGAAACCUAGUGGGUGGGGUUCUGGCUGGGACUCAUCUGGAGUUCCCAGGGCAGAUGCCCGGCCCCAGCUUAUAGACCAUGAUGCGGCUGGGCUUCCGUGUCUGAUUCUUAAGUGCCUCAGGUAAACAGACUCUCCUUUGCUUUGCCAGGAGGAAUGACAUUACUAUCAGCAUUGUAAAAGUCUGUGGCCUUUGGGAGAGUAAUUUUACUUCUAAGACUCUCCUCUACAGAGAAGUGUGCACACUGUUCCCAGUGGAGUCUAUAAAGAUAGCAAAGAGCAAAGACUUAAAACAGAAUGGCUCUGGGUUUGAAGUGUUGUGUAUCUAGACAAUGAACAGCCCACCUUUAAACAAGCCCCACAUGGACUGAAGCGGAGGCAGCUCCAAAUGUAUUAGGUGACAGUGCCACAUGGCUCUGUGUGAUGGUAAGAUUAUAUGUGUACAUGUCAUCUCGAAAGGAGAAUUCGGCUUAUCUCUGGGGAGAGAGUCUGCAUCUUUUCUCAUUUGUACCGAGUAUGGAGUGUGUAUCUAUCUCUCUGUCAGAAAUGUCAAGGGAAGGGUUCACCAUUGACCUGAUGCUCACGAAGGUUAGGAACCAAUGCCAACCACAAUGCCCACCUCUACCUUCAGGAGACAGUAAACGCCUUAGAAUACAAAACCCAUAAACAACCAAGACUGUGGUGCCUGCUGGGGCUGGGCCUGAGCUGCACACAGAGGCUAGGUACCGAACAGCUGCCAUGGUAAACUGGCACAGUUAGGCACGCGGCCGGGUUCACACGCCCUCUGCCCUGACUUUAAAGACAGCAGUCUUGGCCCAGCUUCCCUCACCCCCUAUGUAUGAGCAGAGAGCUAUACUUGCUGGGUUUCCAGCUCUUGUAUUUGGACUCCUCUUCUCUUUUCUCUUUUUUGAGAGAGGGUCUCACUGUGUAUUCGUGGCUGCUCUGGAACUUCCUGGACCAGGCUGGCCUUGAUGUAGAUCUCUGCCUUCUAAAAAAUAAAAAUAUGUUUUAUGUGUA
rnacentral:lncRNA from 1 species